GACGAACGCUGGCGGCGUGCUUAACACAUGCAAGUCGAACGAUGAAGCUAGAGCUUGCUCUGGUGAAUUAGUGGCGAACGGGUGAGUAACACGUGAGUAACCUGCCCCGAACUCUGGGAUAACUGCUGGAAACGGUAGCUAAUACUGGAUACGACCUACGAAGGCAUCUUCUGUAGGUGGAAAGAAUUUCGGUUCGGGAUGGACUCGCGGCCUAUCAGCUGGUUGGUGAGGUAAUGGCUCACCAAGGCGACGACGGGUAGCCGGCCUGAGAGGGUGACCGGCCACACUGGGACUGAGACACGGCCCAGACUCCUACGGGAGGCAGCAGUGGGGAAUAUUGCACAAUGGGCGCAAGCCUGAUGCAGCAACGCCGCGUGAGGGAUGACGGCCUUCGGGUUGUAAACCUCUUUUAGUAGGGAAGAAGCGAAAGUGACGGUACCUGCAGAAAAAGCACCGGCUAACUACGUGCCAGCCGCCGCGGUAA
rnacentral:rRNA from 1 species